rnacentral:RNase_P_RNA from 2 species
CACCUGUAUCAGAUGGUCGCUCCCGAGCAAUCGGGGGAGGAAAGUCCGAACACUCCCGAGUUUUAUUUAUAAUUCCCGGAGCAGGGUAGCGGGUAACGCCCGUCGCGUGUAAACGUAGAGGUGCGAGCAGAGACGCCCCGAGCGAAAGCAGAGGGCACCCCAUGCGGGUGAGCUCUUGUAGUAAUACGAGAGGUGAAACGGCUAAAUCCUUACUUGAGUGCAAGGCCGUGUCGCGUGCGUAGCACGCAGUCCAUAAAGUUAAAAGUCCAAGGUCCUAAAGUAAAUGCAUUCCUGUAUUCACUUUCGACUUUACACUUUCGACUUGUGACUUGCGCGCUGCGCGCGCGAAGUGCCGCUCGAGCGGUGAGGUAACUCAUCGCCUAGAUAAAUGAUCGUCACCCUUUGGGGUACAGAAUUCGGCUUAUCGAUAUAGGUAUAUG